rnacentral:rRNA from 1 species
CCUACGGGAGGCAGCAGUGAGGAAUAUUGGUCAAUGGCCGGAAGGCUGAACCAGCCAUGCCGCGUGAAGGUCAGUGCCCUAUGGGCGUUAAACUUCUUUUGUGCGGGAGCAAUAAUGGUCACGUGUGGCCAGACGAGAGUACCGUACGAAUAAGCAUCGGCUAACUCCGUGCCAGCAGCCGCGGUAAUACGGGGGAUGCAAGCGUUAUCCGGAUUUAUUGGGGUUAAAGGGUGCGUAGGCUGUGAGGUAAGUCAGCGGUGAAAUGCCCCGGCUCAACGGGGUGAAGUGCCAUUGAUACUGCCUUGCUGGAGUGCGGAUGCCGUGGGAGGAAUGUAUGGUGUAGCGGUGAAAUGCAUAGAGAUCACACAGAACACCGAUUGCGAAGGCAUCUCACGAAUCCGCGAUUGACGCUGAUGCACGAAAGCGUGGGUAUCAAACAGGAUUAGAUACCCUAGUAGUC